rnacentral:misc_RNA from 1 species
GUUGCUGAUUAUGUCAGUUUUUUUGGCGCAAAGCCACCACAGAAUCUCCAUUCUUGCAUAGUCCUUUUGCCUUGGCAUGUUGAAUAGCAAAAUCUAAAGCUUCCUCCGUUGUCUCUGCAUGAGAAGCCCUAGCAGACCCUGCAUAUAAAACUGGCACCAACCCACGGAAAAUUAGGCUAUGCCUUGCAGGAGCUUCAUCACU